rnacentral:rRNA from 1 species
ACAAGCGGUGGAGCAUGUGGUUUAAUUCGAUGGUACGCGAGGAACCUUACCAGGGCUUGACAUACGCCGGAAGCGCAUCGAAAGGUGCGUGCCGCUUGCGGCCGGCGUACAGGUGCUGCAUGGCUGUCGUCAGCUCGUGCUGUGAAGUGUUGGGUUAAGUCCCGCAACGAGCGCAACCCCUGCAUUCAGUUGCCAUCGGGUAAUGCCGGGCACUCUGGAAGGACUGCCAUCGACAAGAUGGAGGAAGGUGGGGAUGGCGUCAAGUCAUCAUGGCCCUUAUGUCCAGGGCGACACACGUGCUACAAUGGCCGGCACAACGGGAAGCGAGUUCGCGAGGACGAGCGGAUCCCUCAAAGCCGGUCGCAGUUCGGAUUGAAGUCUGCAACUCGACUUCAUGAAGCUGGAAUCGCUAGUAAUCGUGGAUCAGCCAAGCCGCGGUGAAUACGUUCCCGGGCCUU